AUGGUACAGGAAGGGCCGUGGAGGGUACAGGACCCUCAAAGGAAUCCUCACUGUAGAUGGACUCAUUGAGGACAUUAAGCAUCGGGGAUACCAUCAGGGGUACGAUGAGAAGCCAUGCCGCUGUUGACAGCAGGAAAGCUAUGAAACCUGCCGGCAGUCCUACAGCAAGAAAUGACUCGCAAGAUCAGAUUCCUGAUGCAAAAGAAUUGGACAGACCUGCGUCAGGACUGC
rnacentral:lncRNA from 1 species